GUGAGAGGCUGCAAGUCUGGGAUUGAAAUCUAUUGGCUUUUUGGCCUCACUCAUGUGGAGCCCUCAUAGGCCCCACUAGUGGUUUCCAGGAAGGAGGCAAGAGAGUCUUAUUUGAAAAAGAAUCAAGAUUAAAAAUGGAGCAUUGAUUAAAAAAACAAAUAGAAGUUAAAAAAUUAAAAUCAAAUGAGAAGUGUGAUAUAAAACUCAUCAAUGACUGAUCAUAUUAGGUAUGAAAUAGUAGAACUGAAGAAUAAAAACAUGUGAACAUGCUUCCCUCUGAGGCUAAUGGCCUUGCUGAAUCAUGCUGCUUUGGUGUGAUGUCAACCCAAAUGGAGGAUUUAUAUAAGAAUCAUCCCUCUGAAGUUUAUUAUGGUUUCCAAUAAGACUGUGAUUGAAGAUGAUGUUUAUCAUAAUCUGGAUCCUUAUUAUGAGUGUACUUAAGAGAAAUGCUAUUUGUUCUAUGUAUCAAAACAAAUUGAACUUUGUAGAAAUUGAUUUGUAUUUAUAUCAUGAGCACUGUGAAUUGUGUAGCUAACCAUAAAUGUUCACAUCUAGAAGGUUUUGAGUUACAUUUAUGAACUAUUUGUAGCUUUGUGGUAUGAAUUCUUGACUCUAUUUUAUAUCCCAGUUAGUGCUAACUCAAUUCUCAAAAUAAACACAUUUGAGCACUAUCAAUGAAAAAGUAUCAAACAAUAUUUUGUAAAGAAUUUUAUGUUUUUUUUUAAAUAUUAAAACAUUGUCAAGCAAAAACUCAUUCCUACACAUUUUUAAUUGUUUAGUGCUGUUUUGAUUUUGAAUUACAAGUGGAGGCAGGUACAAUAUCUUCUCAGAAUUUAGUCAUCAAAGCUCUUACACAGGCACUAGUUUUUGCCUUUGUUUGCCUUUAUUCACUCAUUCCACUCACUCUCAACAUAUGCUAUCAUGUAGUAGUGUGUAUAUCCUUGUGAGCCCUUUUAAAUCCUUUCUGGAACAACAGGGAAUAUUAUAAAGAAAUCUGGAAAAGUGAGUAAAUUUUAAAAAUAAACUUAAUUAAAAAUAAAAGAAAAAUUUAAAAUUAUAAGCUACUACCUUGCAAAAGUCUCAGAUGAGAGAGCAUAUAUCCACAAGAGAGAGAAAAGUAUAACACUUGUGGAAGAAAAUGUUUUUUUAAAGAAGAAAUUUUGUUAUCCUAAGAACCUGUAUUUGUUUUAUGAUUCAAGUAGAGUGCCAAAUCAUUAUUUUGAUAGAAAAUCAAUUUCCAGAGCCUUUCCCUUUCCAUUAGUGUUCCCUUAGAACACAGCUUCUCAAAUUUUCUCAGUUCACUGCACCCUUAGUAACUCAGUAAUUUUUUCAUGAUGACCCUAGACCAAAAGGAAUAUCUAAUAGUUUCUUUUGUUAGUUUUAGGUCCAAAGCAGUUUAGAAAGUAUUUUUGUCUUAAUGAUUUAGUAGGUUGCUUGAAACAAGGUACACAAAUGAAUUGAAAGAAAAAAAAAUUUAUUUCAUUAAUUUUUUUAAAAAAUUAAAUUAAUUUAUUUAUUUGAGAUGGAGUCUUGCUCUGUCACCCAGGCUGGAGUGCAGUGGCACAAUCUCAGCUCACUGCAAUCUCCACCUCCUGGGUUCAAGUGAUUCUCCUGCCUUAGCCUCCUGAGUAACUGGGAUUACAGGUGUGCACCAUCACGGCCAGCUAAUUUUUAUUUUUAGUAGAGAUGGGUUUUCACCAUGUUGGCCAGACUGGUCUCCAACUCUGGACCUCAAGUGAUCCACCCGGCCUCCCUCCCAAAGAGCUGGGAUUACAGGUGUGAGCCACCAUGCCUGGCCUUAUUUCAUUUUUAAAUAGCCAGUUACUUAAUGAGAUAUGCCUAUUGUGUACUGCACCACUUACCAAACCUUGGGAUCAGAUUGGAUACUUGCAAUCGUGUUUGCUACAUUGAUUUUCAUGGGAUACUUGCUUUUUAUGAGAGCAACUGCCAAAACCUAGCUUUGCAAGGAUAAGAAGUCACUGAAAGGUAUGUAACAUGAUCUGAUGUUAAAACGGAACUAUUUUGAGCUGCUAGUAUGUUUGGUGUCUGAUAGAUGUUGUACAUUGCUGUGAUUCCCUCAAAAGGUUAAAAUAUCUUGCAGUGCCCUUGUGAAUUCUCUAUGGUGGCUUAGGGUACCUUGACACACAAUUUGGGAACUAUAGCCCUAAACUCAUAGACACUUACAGAGUCUUAUUAGAAUCUUCUCUUUUCUAGUUUACCUUUCUAUAUAUGCUCUUCCUCUUUUUCAUUCUCAUUUUUAAAAAGAGUUAAUAAAAAGUAAUAAUGACACACUAGACUUUUUCCAGAGUAAUGGUUCAUUAAUACAAUAUAUCCUCUUUGGCAAUUAAGAAAGUAUACAUUUAUGCUUUAAUGAACAUGUGAGUAUAUAUCAGAUAUAAAGUAUUCAGAUAAAAUAUAGUCAACAGUGGCCUCAGUUACAUACUUAAGCCUCUGUCUGCUUCAUUUUUCUAGAGUUUAAAGGAAACUGUCAUACCUAAAAUAAGGACUUUUAUGCUAACUGCAGAAUUUAUGCUAACCGUACAUUUAUUAUCAGAGCUUGAUACUCAAUCUCUUCUCACUAAAGGUGAGAAUGGCCCUAAUUUUCUAUACUUUCAUAUUUUACUAAUUGACUCCAGGUAGGAGGAAGGCAGUUUUGAGUUAGGGAGCUGGCUGGAAAUGUUCUUCAGUUUGUUUCCCCUCAGUCUGUUCCAGAAUUAACAGCACAGCGGAAAGAAGAGGCUGGAGGUAGAGCUCUGAAUGCCCAUGGAAAGAUACUGCCCUCUGUCUAGAUGGAAAUGGGAGAAUGUAACUAUCAAAAGGGCCUAAUCAGGUCAGGAAGACAAAGCAGAAAGAAGUAAAAAUGAGGUGGAGGGACAGUAGAAAAGAGAAAGAAGGAAAAGCAGUAGUAGGGUGCAGUAAUGUCCCCUUAUCUGCAUGGAAUAUGUUUCAGGACCGCCCCCGCCCCCGCCCAAACAGAGGAUACGUAUAGUUCAAACCACAUAUAGUUCCAGACCCUCUAUAUACCAUACUAUGCCUUUUCCUAUACAUAAAUAACUAUAAUAAAGCUUAAUUUAUAAAUGAGGCACAUUAAGAGAUGAAAAACAAUGACAUAAUAAAACAGAACAGUAGAAAAAUACACUCACAUUCACAUGUUAUGUGAAUGUGAUCUGUCUCUCUAAAUAUCUUAUUGUAAUAUACUCACUUAUUUUUGGGCCACAAUUGACCAUAGUAACUGAAACUGGAAAGCAAAACUGCAGAUAAAGGGGGACUAAUAUACUCAGAUUGGUACAGUUUGCUUAGAAUUUUGGUAAAGCCCCCAAAAUUAAAACUCAAGUUUGACAAAGUGUGAGGUAGAGAAUCAAUUUACCUAAAGAUAUAUUUGGGAGAAGUUAUUGUAUGUAGUUAUAAUUUAGAUCCACCUACCUUGUCCACUCAAA
rnacentral:lncRNA from 10 species